rnacentral:rRNA from 1 species
UACAGAGGGUGCAAGCGUUAAUCGGAAUUACUGGGCGUAAAGCGUGCGUAGUCGGUUAUUUAAGUCGGGCGUGAAAGCCCCGGGCUCAACCUGGGAAUUGCGUUCGAUACUGGAUAGCUAGAGUUCGGAAGAGGGAAGCGGAAUUUCCGGUGUAGCGGUGAAAUGCGUAGAUAUCGGAAGGAACAUCAGUGGCGAAAGCGGCUUCCUGGACCAGAACUGACGAUCAGGCACGAAAGCGUGGGGAGCAAACAGG